ACGUUCGUGUUGUAGUGGUCAGCACGCUCGAAUCAUAACCGAGGCAUCCGUGGUUCGAUUCCCGGCGAAGGCG
rnacentral:tRNA from 1 species